CUCUACGGCGAUGACGUCAUGAACAAGACGCUCGGUUCCAACGCACAGUUCACCUGAUGAGGGUCCAUAUUGCAGCAAAUAAAUGCCCGGAGCUUCAACAUUUGGGAAGUGCUCCAUUGUGUGGAAAAACUCAACAGUGCAAAUAGAAGAUGCCCAAAGCUCUCUCUUGGUCAGUGUGGGAAACUGCUGGACCUGAAGUGCAGGAACAUAGCAC